UUUUUGCACCAGCUCCAUCUUCUAAGUUAAAUACUUUUUGAACAACGCCCUUACCAAAAGAUUGGGUGCCAAUAACUUUUGCUCGUCCGCGAUCUUUCAUAGCUCCAGCUAAAAUUUCACUAGCAGAUGCUGAAUUUUCGUUUUGUAAAACAACCAUAGGUAUAUCACUAGCAUUUGCAUCAGAUUUUUCUGUUGCAACAUUGCCUUUUUUAUCUUUUGUAGUUACUAUUACACCUUCAUCUAAGAAGUUAUCAGCUAUAUUUAUAACUACAUCUAAGGCUCCACCUGGAUUAUUCC
rnacentral:ncRNA from 1 species